rnacentral:tRNA from 1 species
GCCAGCGUAGCUCAAUCGGCAGAGCAACUGAUUUGUAAUCAGUAGGUUGCCAGUUCGACUCUGGCCGCUGGCU